GGCGCAAAAUAAUCGCAGCUAUCCGUGAUAGUGGCCAGGCCUGCCACCACAGAAACAUUCAUACUCCAUUGUUUGCUACGAAGAUUUGGUUAAUAUUCGUCUUGAACUGUAGUGAUGGCUGACAGAACAAGUAAUUGGUCUGAUACGUAUGCAGAGAUUAAGAAGAACCAUUGUGAUUGUGAUUGGUAAGGCAAUAAAAUUAGAACAAGAAGGAAACCUAAAUGAAGUAUGUUGAUGCAGUUUGAGAACAGCCAUAUGUAAUCAAAACUGGAUUUAUCAAGAAAUUGAAACCAGGUUAAAAUCUGUGAAUGAUUGCUACACUAAUUACUGAGUGUUUUGCUUUCUUGUCUAAGAA